rnacentral:rRNA from 1 species
AUGAACGCUAGCUACAGGCUUAACACAUGCAAGUCGAGGGGUAACGUGAGGAAAGCUUGCUUUCCUUGACGACGACCGGCGCACGGGUGAGUAACGCGUAUCCAACCUGCCCAUAACUAAGGGAGAACCGGUAGAAAUGCCGCCUAAUACCUUAUGUGGUCUCUCGAGGACAUCCGAGUGAGACUAAAGAUUCAUCGGUUAUGGAUGGGGAUGCGUCUGAUUAGCUUGUUGGCGGGGUGACGGCCCACCAAGGCGACGAUCAGUAGGGGUUCUGAGAGGAAGGUCCCCCACAUUGGAACUGAGACACGGUCCAAACUCCUACGGGAGGCAGCAGUGAGGAAUAUUGGUCAAUGGGCGGAAGCCUGAACCAGCCAAGUAGCGUGAGGGAUGACUGCCCUAUGGGUUGUAAACCUCUUUUAUUCGGGAACAAAGUGAGGGACGUGUCCCUUUUUGCGUGUACCGUUUGAAUAAGGACCGGCUAAUUCCGUGCCAGCAGCCGCGGUAAUACGGAAGGUCCGGGCGUUAUCCGGAUUUAUUGGGUUUAAAGGGAGCGUAGGCCGGAGAUUAAGCGUGUUGUGAAAUGUAGACGCUCAACGUCUGAAUUGCAGCGCGAACUGGUUUCCUUGAGUACGCACAACGUUGGCGGAAUUCGUGGUGUAGCGGUGAAAUGCUUAGAUAUCACGAAGAACUCCGAUUGCGAAGGCAGCUGACGGGAGCGCAACUGACGCUGAAGCUCGAAAGCGCGGGUAUCGAACAGGAUUAGAUACCCUGGUAGUCCGCGCGGUAAACGAUGGAUGCCCGCUGUUUGCAUUUGAUGUAAGCGGCUAAGCGAAAGCGUUAAGCAUCCCACCUGGGGAGUACGCCGGCAACGGUGAAACUCAAAGGAAUUGACGGGGGCCCGCACAAGCGGAGGAACAUGUGGUUUAAUUCGAUGAUACGCGAGGAACCUUACCCGGGCUUGAAAUGUGAGCGACAGGCGGCAGAGACGCCGCCCUCCUUCGGGCGCUCAUGUAGGUGCUGCAUGGUUGUCGUCAGCUCGUGCCGUGAGGUGUCGGCUCAAGUGCCAUAACGAGCGCAACCCCUUCUGCCGGUUACCAUCGCUUCGGGCGGGGACUCCGGCAGUACUGCCGCCGCAAGGCGUGAGGAAGGUGGGGAUGACGUCAAAUCAGCACGGCCCUUACGUCCGGGGCCACACACGUGUUACAAUGGGGGGCACAGAAGGCAGGACCUCGCCGACAAGGUUCGAAUCGAGAAAUCCCCUCCCAGUUCGGACUGGAGUCUG